rnacentral:rRNA from 1 species
GACGAACGCUGGCGGCGUGCUUAACACAUGCAAGUCGAACGGAAAGGCCCUGCUUUUGUGGGGUACUCGAGUGGCGAACGGGUGAGUAACAUGUGAGUAUCCUGCCCUUGACUUUGGUAUAACUUCAGGAAAGUGGAGCUAAUCCCGGAUAGGAGCUCCUGUUGUUUGGUGGGGGUUGGAAAGUUUCGGCGGCUGGGGAUGGACUCGCGGCUUAUCAGCUUGUUGGUGGGGUAGUGGCUUACCAAGGCUUUGGGGGAUAGCCGGCCUGAGAGGGUGACCGGCGACAAUGGGACUGAGAGACGGGCCAGUCUCCUACGGGGGGCAGCAGUGGGGAAUAUUGCACAAUGGGAGGAAGACUGAUGCAGCGACGCCGCGUGCGGGAUGACGGCCUUCGGGGUGUAAACCGCUUUCGCCUGAGACGAAGCGUGAGUGACGGUAAUGGGUAAAGAAGCACCGGCUAACUACGUG